GGCUGCACUGCCCGGAGCGCGGCCUGCACCGCCGGCCGGCAAGGGCAUAGCCCCUCCGAGGGAGCCGAUGCCUGGCGAAGGGUCUCGGGGAUGUCGGUGAAGGCAUCUGGGGGGCCCGAGGGGCGGCAGCGUGCAGCGGCCGGGCCCCAUUGCCAGAGGGCCCCCGGGGUCAUUUCCUUGCAGGCGAGCAGAUCGCUGGGGAAUGAAAUGCAGAUUUACCCUUGACGCUGUGCACGCAUGGCUGAGGCUUCAGGAAGGAAGGAAGAAAAGCGCUGCCCGGCAGGCUCGGCGCUGCCCCCGCUCCUCGGGCCGACCACCCCCGCUGUCCCCCGCGCCCCAAGAGGUAUCGUCUCCAGUCCUCUCUUUCCUGCUUCGUCCUGCAGUGGGAACCAGCUUUUAGGACAGACAUCCUCACGAGCUCGAGUCCUCCCUAUUUUGGAGAGAGACGAAAAAUAGCUAUAAUGAACUGCAUACAAAGAACGCGCCUCGUUUACACAUGGCAACCAGGAAAGGACGCCUGAGCUUUGAAGAUGCCUGCUAUCGCGUUUUCGAUCAUGUUUCCCCACAUAUUACACCACGAAUUCUCCAUGUGUGGUAGUUUCAGAGUUAUACUUUUUUGUCUUGAAGAUGUUAUUUUGUUUUCCCUUGCU